rnacentral:sRNA from 1 species
AACACAGCUGUAUGUUCCUUCAUGCAGUAGCCCAUGCUUUUCAGUGCUCAUCCAGAAACAUUUACUCCAAGGAGAAACAGCAUAACAUUUUAAAAUUUUAAGCCUAAUUAAAAAACAAUUGUUUGCUUUUCCUCUGAUGCUGAAAGUGAUAGGCCUUGAUUUCUUGGGAUAUAUACCCAUAACAGACCCAGCUUUCUAUUAUUUGUAUAUAAAAUGAAUGUAUUGUAAUAGGUAUUAAAUGUCUUCCUCGUAGGGCUUGAUAACCUCUGAAAAUGAGAAAUGUGAUCAUCCAGUGGGAGGUAUUCACUAUGAAAUGUGCAUAGAAUGUCCACCUACUUUCAGUGACAAGAGAGAACAAAUAUCAGAAAAUCCAACAGAAGCCACAGAUAUUGGUUUUGGUAAUCGAUGUGGAAAACCCAAAGGACCAAGAGAUCCACCUUCAGAAUGGACAUGAUUCAGGGAGCUAAAAGACACUUUAAGUUAUACUGGAAAAUUCAGGUGCCACUGAAAGCCAGAUUUAUAGUAUUCCAUCUUUAAUAUGUGGGACUAACAGCAGUGUAGAUUGUUACCUUAAUAUUUUUUGCUGGGACCAUCUACCUGCCUUAUACUACACUUAGGAAAAAGUAUUACAUAUGGUUUAUUUUGAAACUUCAAGUAUUAUUGC